GUAGGUGAACCUGCGGAAGGAUCAUUACAGAGUUCAUGCCCCUCGGGGUAGAUCUCCCACCCUUGUGUAUCAUUAUAGAAUGUUGCUUUGGCGGGCCGCGUUUCGGCGCCUGGAUUCGCGUCCAGAGUGCUCGCCAGAGGACCCCCAAACUCUGUUAAUUAGUGUCGUCUGAGUAUUAUACAAAAUAGUUAAAACUUUCAACAAC
rnacentral:misc_RNA from 1 species